UUGUUUUUUCCUAUUUGGCUUCUUUUUUGAGGAAAAAAAGAAGGGAGUAGGGUUUCAUCCUUUAACAUGCAAGAUCUCUCCUUUUAACUGGUUUUUGAGACAUCCCUUUUAGGGAAAAGGGAUGAAUUUGUUGCUAGAAAUAUGUUAGGUAUACUGAAACAUGAAUUCUAUGAACAGAUCUAAAUAUAGGCAUGUACUUCCUAUAGCUAUAUCCCUAAGCGAAAAUUCUUUUAAGGGGUGAUGGUUUUAUUCUUCUGGUCAAGAAACAGAUCUGGUAAAGAAAAUGAAGUCUUACCCCUUCCUUUUGUUUGCAAGUCUUUUCAUACAUAGUUUUUAGCACCCCCCAAAAAAAGGUGAAAGCUAUAUGGUUGAAUUUAUGUGCCUAUGACACAUCAAAUGUUGAUUGAUUAGCUCCCUCUCUUUAUUAUAACCUGAUUUCACUGUUUUUAUUUUAUUUUUGAGUUCUUAAGUUUUGAUAAAUUGGUUCUUGGAUUGAAAACAGAACUUGGACAAUGAAAUCAACAAAGUCAAGAAAGACAAUGACAACAUGCAAAUUGAACUCAAGUAAAUUAAACAUCAUUAGUAUGGCUUCUAACUUUUCUCUUCACUCCCUCUCCUCCCACCUAUAUCACAAGAAGCAAAUUCAUAAUUUAACUUUAAUAUUUUUAGAAUAAAACAUAUUAUACUUCUGAAAUUAUGAUGUUCAAACUUAAUAUUUGUUGAAACAUUAAUUAUUUUUGUAUAUAUAUCUAUAUUCCUCAUGUCGACAAUAUUGGGUUUAUCAGUUGAAUCGGCCAUUAAAAAUAGUUGCAUCCACCUCUACCACACCCACCCACCAACCCCUCUUGACCCAAUAAAAAAAAGAAAAGUAUGUACCCUUGGAAUAGUCGAGGUGAGCUAAUUAAGCGGGCGGAAAAGAAGAAGAAGAAGAAGAAGAAAAGUAGUAUGAAAGAAUAAAUUUAUUAAAAAAAAUAAAAUCUUUGGCUUAAUGUUUAUCCUUGAGUUGUUUUAGGCACCUAAAGGGGGAAGAUAUAACAUCUUUGAACCACAGAGAGCUGAUGAUGUUGGAAGAUGCCCUUGAAAAUGGACUAACUAGUAUCCGUAACAAGCAGGUAGUACUCAUUCUACAACUAACUUUUCCUUUAAUUUUUUGUAUUAAUGUGCUAUUGGAAUUAGUCCACACUUUGAUUGCGUUCUUGUUUGUUACCUUAUGAUAUAGAAUGAGUUUCUGAGGAUGAUGAGGAAAAAGGUAUGUCAAGCACCAAUGUGCCUAUAUAUUUUCUGUUCAAAAUUUCCUUUUUUUUUAACUGUUUGCUCUUAAUUUACUGUUUUCAAUUAUAUGUUCUAACCUACUGUGGUCUUUGGAUG
rnacentral:lncRNA from 1 species